CUACGGGAGGCAGCAGUGAGGAAUAUUGGGCAAUGGGCGAAAGCCUGACCCAGCCACGCCGCGUGUGUGAUGAAGGCCUUCGGGUCGUAAAGCACUGUGGGGAGAGACGAACCUGUACAGGAGGAAAUGCCUGUGCACUGACGGUACCUCCUUAGCAAGCACCGGCUAACUCUGUGCCAGCAGCCGCGGUAAUACAGAGGGUGCAAACGUUGCUCGGAUUUACUGGGCGUAAAGCGCGUGUAGGCGGACUCGCAAGUCGGUUGUGAAAUCCCUGGGCUCAACCUAGGAACUGCAUCCGAAACUGCUUGUCUUGAGUAAUGGAGAGGGUGGCGGAAUUCCCGGUGUAGAGGUGAAAUUCGUAGAUAUCGGGAGGAACAUCAGUGGCGAAGGCGGCCACCUGGACAUUUACUGACGCUGAGACGCGAAAGCGUGGGGAGCAAACAGGAUUAGAUACCCUGGUAGUCCACGCCGUAAACGAUGAGAACUAGGUGCAGCGGAUAUUGACCUCUGCUGUGCCGUAGCUAACGCGUUAAGUUCUCCGCCUGGGGAGUACGGCCGCAAGGCUAAAACUCAAAGGAAUUGACGG
rnacentral:rRNA from 1 species